GGUGGUCUCCGGUCCUAAUCAAACUUGGGAUGGCCAUUACGACAAGGCCCUCGGUCAGGUCAUGUCAAGUUGAUAUCAAAUCCUAGGUUCAUGGUCAAUUAGAAGUCCACAAAGCCAUGUUGAGUAGAGUCUCUUUUAGGGAUGUGUAGCAAGCCACACUCAUAAGGGAGAGGCUACAUGUAAUGCCCCAAUUUUUUAAAACUGGAAUGCCA
rnacentral:lncRNA from 1 species